CAGUAGCCGCGGUAAUCCAGAGGGUGCGAGCGUUAAUCGGAUUUACUGGGCGUAAAGCGUGCGUAGGCGGCUAAUUGAGUCGGAUGUGAAAUCCCCGAGCUUAACUUGGGAAUUGCAUUCGAUACUGGUUAGCUAGAGUGUGGGAGAGGAUGGUAGAAUUCCAGGUGUAGCGGUGAAAUGCGUAGAGAUCUGGAGGAAUACCGAUGGCGAAGGCAGCCAUCUGGCCUAACACUGACGCUGAGGUACGAAAGCAUGGGGAGCAAACAGGUUUAGAUACCCCCGUAGUCCCUGUCUCUUAUAC
rnacentral:rRNA from 1 species